UGCGGUAUCCUGACCGUGCUAAGGUAGCAUAAUCAUUUGCCUUUUAAUUAAAGGAUAGUAUGAAUGGAUAAACGAAAAUUAACCUGUCUCGAUUAUAUAUAUAAAAAUUAAACUCCAGGUGAAGAUGCCUGGCUAAAUUUGAAAGACAAGAAGACCCUACAGAGUUUUAGUAAAUUUCCCAACCUCUAAACUCCUUUACUUUUGUUGGGGCGACAAAGGAUAAAUAAAAUCAUCCUUUUUUUAAUAGAUUAUAAAUUUCUCAUAAGAAGACCCUUCAUAAGAUCUUAUACCAAACUACCUUAGGGAUAACAGGCUAAUCCCCUUCUAGAGUUCUAAUCGAAAAGGGGGCUUGGCACCUCGAUGUUGGCUUAGGAA
rnacentral:rRNA from 1 species